AGAGCGCAGACAUAUUAUGUUCUGCCUCGUUUCCACCAAGCCCGCUAUGCGAGCAAUACACUGAAGAAGCAUCUUUGCAGCAAAUGCUGCACAAUAUUAUACCAAUGCAACAACAGUUGCAACAACAAAUGUUGCAAAUGCAACAGCAGCAGCAGCAUCAACAACGGCAGCAGCAGACCUAACAACAGCAGUCACAGUACCAGCCCCAACAACAGCAACAGCAGCCCCAACAACACCAGAAAAUGCAAAUAAAUGCGACUAGAAGACACAAAAGAAGAGCUGGUCAAAAUAGGGUCCGCUGGUAUCAACAGCGGGGUGGCCGAGGCGAUGCCAGCGAGAUAAUAUUCCCGAGCGGGAGAGGCCCGUAUAGAAGAGGAGGCCCGCGCGAAAGAAGAGGCCGAGGAGUCUGUCGUG